UGGAGGGGACACGACCUGGGGCGGCACGAAGCACUUUGUAAUGCAUCGUAGCGUUUAAGUUGGCAUCAGCCAAGUCGCGCACAUUGGCUCGGACACUAGAUGCUCGUUAUACAGAGGACACGAUCUCAUGUGCAGCAAGUGAUAGCUGAGGGUAUAAAAUGCAUCAAGGAAGAGCAUCUGCAUCACACCACAUCUGAGAACAGAAGUUCCUCUACUGCAUUGAAUUAUCAGUUCCCCGCUGGAAAGUUCCACAACCACUGGGUCCUUACGAGAGAGGAUCUGACAAAUGGAGCUACUCCAAACGUCUGGAAAGAGGAUGGCGCCUCCAGUCUCCUGUGGAGUGGACCAUGCCUUGUGAGGACAUCACCUUCAAGUAUUGAUGCUAGUGGAUCCCUAUCAAGCAACUUAUGAAGCCCACAGCUCGAUUAACAGCUAUUAUCUUGAAUCCGAAUAAUGCCAAAUGACUUAUAGUAGUUUAAACUCAGGAUCUUACUAUCUUCACCUAUUUACCAAUGGAUUAAGUACAUGAGACGUUCCAGGAGAAUGACAAUGAUGAACAAUGAAUGAAUGAAUGAAUGUCGUGAGUCUCUCUAAUGCCAACUCUUCGCUAUAAAUGAAGUGAACUCUUCCUUAUAAAUGAAAUGAAUAAAUGCUCUCCUCCUCCAGCUGCUGCCUGAAGGACUGGGACUGAGUAAAUAUGGGAAAACUUAUGUUCUCCAAACCCCACUAUGGAGCAGUAAGGGGACUUGAGAAGACCACAGUCCUCAAAGACCGAGAAGCAUUAGGGUAUGGCUCACACAUUCACAGCAGGCUGGGAAUCCUCCCGGGUCCUCUCAAGAGAGGAGGAUUCAAUGCAACUUCAGGAGGGCUUUAAGAGCUCAUGACUGGCCUUUACGCUACAGAUGCUUCCUGUCAUAUCCUUUUGUAAAAGUUUCAUGCUCUGAGAUUCUCUUGGCCCAGUCAGAGAGGGAGGAAAGUAUCUGGGAAGUGGAAUCAGGACUAUAUUUCUCAGGAGACUUCUUUUUAUUCAGUAUAAUUGGAACACUCUGAUGGGUAAGCAGUCCAUCCAACAAUCCAUUGGGGAAUGAGCAUAUUUUCCUGCCUACUUUAGCAGCAGUUACCCCCUGCAGAUUUCCCGAUGAAUCAGAAGCUGCCUCUGCACAGACCCAUAAUCCGCAGCUUAUAGACAAGGACCCUGGUGGAGAAUUGACCAUCAAAUGGAAAAUCCAAUCCCUUCACAUUUCUUAAACAUGAGGAUAGAUAACUUCCGAAUCAGAUCUUUUGCAGCUAAACACCUUCCACAACCCUCAGUGAGAGCAGGCCAGAGAUUUGGAUUCGCUUCUGUGCAUAUUUCCCUUUAGCCUAGUAUCUAAUGGCGGGUCUAUUGUGCAGUUUAUGAAAUGUUCACAGUUAAAGAGAUAAUAGACCACCUUGAACAGCUUAGAGGAAACAUACUGUGUAAAACUAAGAGCUCAGAAGUCAGGAACCUGAGAAGAAAGCAUAAUGUAGGAUAAGUGUCCCCACCCCUUUUCAUCACCUAUACUUGCCUCCCUGGAGGAAACUCUAAGAGGGCAAACUAAGGAAUAAUGUGACAGGGUCCAGAGUUCUUCAAAUUCCACUUCCCCAGGCCCUUCGUUAUAUAUAAACAAGCCUACUCGUAUGCAAUUUCUCACAUAUAAGUACAACUCUCCUGACAAUCUACUGUCAGAAAAGUGAACGCUUUGAGAUAUUUUCCAAAGAGGAAUUUAUAGUAAUUUAUCUACACACCUGUAUGCAAAGGCAUGUAUUUACUGAACAACUACAUUUAGAAUGAGUGAGGUCUUAUUGCCCUUUACAAAAGAUACAGUUAAAAUUGUGCUGUCUUCAGUUUUCACAAAGAUUGACCAAGAUUAAAAAGUUAACAUAUUGGGGUGUCUGGGUGACUCAGUCGGUUAAGCAACAGACUCUUGAUUUCAGCUCAGGUCACAUGAUCUCAGGAUCAUGAGAUCCAGCCCUGCAUGGGUCUCCGUGCUCAGCA